UUUCACAGGAGAUUUUGCUCA
ensembl:piRNA 21ur-1038 ncRNA